rnacentral:rRNA from 1 species
UACGGAGGGUGCAAGCGUUAUCCGGAUUCACUAGGUUUAAAGGGUCCGUAGGCGGUUUGGUAAGUCAGUGGUGAAAGCCCAUCGCUCAACGGUGGAACGGCCAUUGAUACUGCUAGACUUGAAUUAUUAGGAAGUAACUAGAAUAUGUAGUGUAGCGGUGAAAUGCUUAGAGAUUACAUGGAAUACCAAUUGCGAAGGCAGGUUACUACUAAUGGAUUGACGCUGAUGGACGAAAGCGUGGGUAGCGAACAGG